AAGGAAUAUUGGUCAAUGGUGGAAACACUGAACCAGCCAUGCCGCGUGAAGGAAUAAGGUCCUAUGGAUUGUAAACUUCUUUUGACGAGGAAGAAAUGAGUGGAUUUAUCCAUUUUUGACGGUACUCGUAGAAUAAGCACCGGCUAACUCCGUGCCAGCAGCCGCGGUAAUACGGAGGGUGCAAGCGUUAUCCGGAUUUACUGGGUUUAAAGGGUCCGCAGGUGGGGAGGUAAGUCAGUGGUGAAAUACCCGGGCUCAACUUGGGUGCUGCCAUUGAUACUGCUUUUCUUGAGUGUAGAUGAGGUGGGCGGAAUACAGCAUGUAGCGGUGAAAUGCGUAGAUAUGCUGUAGAACACCGAUUGCGAAGGCAGCUCACUAAACUACUACUGACACUCAGGGACGAAAGCGUGGGGAUCAAAC
rnacentral:rRNA from 1 species